CUCGUAGGCGGUUAGUCGCGUCGGAUGUGAAAACCCAGUGCUUAACACUGGGCCUGCAUUCGAUACGGGCUGGCUAGAGUGUUGUAGGGGAGACUGGAACUCCUGGUGUAGCGGUGAAAUGCGCAGAUAUCAGGAAGAACACCGGUGGCGAAGGCGGGUCUCUGGGCAACUACUGACGCUGAGGAGCGAAAGCGUGGGGAGCAAACA
rnacentral:rRNA from 1 species